CCUCCGGUAGUUCAGAGGUUAGAAUGGGAUUCUUAUAAAGUCCUGGUCGGUGGUUCAAUUCCACCCCGGAGGACCA
rnacentral:tRNA from 1 species